UUGUCUCUUGCAUCUACAUUUAUGCAUGUAUAUACAGACUCUCCCAAGCACCAAGGGACAGAUGUUAUCUUCAAGCAAUAGAAUUGAGUACAGAACACUUGCAAACUGUGUGAUGCUAAGUUUUGGAGUGCUCCAGUAUCACUUGGUGUUCUCACACAUGUACAUGGAAAAUUAUUAACUAAUGUCAAUGCUAGGGUCAUCCCUGCAAUUGCAUGCUGAUACAUUAUAUCAAAGUGUUGUCACAUUGCUGUUAACUGGACAUUACUUUUAAUCAAUGAAUUGAGAACUGAGGACCUGAAGAAGUUUUGUAAAAAUUACAAAGUUAAUGAAAAAUUGUCUCUCUAAGGAUAUACUGCAAAAACUUAAUGGUGUCAAAAAACAAUGGAGAAUCAUAUAACAACAAACAAAAUGAAAAUUACUAAAGCCAAUUGAUGUAUUUCAGGAACAUGAAAAGUCACAGAGCUAUAGCAUAAUAUAUGUAAAGGUAAG